rnacentral:rRNA from 1 species
AUGGGGCCACCGCAGCCAGCCAAGGGCAUCAUCAGCAUCGAGGCCUGCGCGCGGCCGAUCGCCGUCGACCACCGCAUCAGCCUUCCCUACUACUUCCGCAUCGCGGGCACCCUCCUCCGCCAGGCCAAGAUAUAUCGAGAUGAGAAGAACAUCCUCGACCUGUAUGUCAUCCUCCUGAGAUAUACGAGCUUGCUGUGUGAGACCAUCCCCAAGCACCGUGACUACCCCGUAUUCAAGUUGAGGGAAGCAGAGUUCGUCAGAAACGCCAACUCCUCUACACUCAUUGAUGUUGUCAAUGAGCUUGAGUCUCUGAAGCCAGUUGUGAAGCGGCAGCUCGUUGAACAUAACAGAAGGGGUAGCCCGGAAGCUAAUGGUCUGAAUGGAACCCAUGCUGCAAGUUUAAGGACGGAGAAGCAUCCUCCAACCACAUAUUCCACACAGCCAUUUGUAGGUUCAUUGCAAAAAUUCUACCCAGACGGGAGGCAUCACGUGGCAUCACGGACAAGUAUCCAAACUGAUAGGCAGAUCCGCAAACAAUUUGUAAAUCUGCCUUUUCCGAAAGAAGAGACACUGGCUAGACAUUCAAUAUUAGGGCCUAAUGGGCUUCAUGGACAAUGGAAUGGGCCUGUUGCUGCAGUCAAGGUCCAAUAUCCAUGCAAUCUUGAAUUUACACAAAGUGAUAUGACAAGGUGUAUUUCAAAAGAACACGACGAUCCAAACAGGGCCUCAUUGGUCUUUCUACUCUGUUUGAGACCUGGAAGCCUAUUGAGAUUCAUUCUAGUGCCGGCUAUGUUGAACCAAGAUGGUCUGCAUGGUCCCAGUACCACAUAUCCUGAUAGCACUACAAAAGAUAACGAUGAUAUGCAAUCUGUUCUAUCUCUUGAUGAUGGUCGAUGGUCUGCACCAGCAGAAGAAUGCACCUCUACACCUUCUGCUAGUCUGGAGGGAGAAUUGUCCCAGUUGAAUAUCAGACAGCCUUCACCCCCGCCAGUCCUGGCAGAAGUACAUCCUGAUCGCGCACCCGCAAUUUCUCCAUCAAGAGUUGGUGAUCCAACACAAGGACUUGCUAUAUCAGAAACCGGUCGUUAUCAUAACUUGCAUGUUCCGGUGAAGUUGAUGGAGUGUUUUCUAAGGGUUGCUGAGGCGAACACUAAAAGAAGUUUAGAAACUUGUGGGGUUCUUGCUGGUACCCUGAAAAAGAGAACUUUUCAUAUUACAACCUUAAUAAUUCCAAAGCAGAAAUCUACAUCUGAUUCGUGUGAAGCUACAAAUGAAGAAGAACUAUUUGAAGUUCAGGACAAGGGCUCACUAUUCACCCUUGGUUGGAUUCAUACACAUCCAACGCAGUCCUGUUUCCUGUCCUCUAUUGACCUCCAUAAUCAUUAUUCGUACCAGGUCAUGCUACCUGAGGCAAUUGCAAUAGUUAUGGCACCUACCGACACAAGAAAAAAACACGGUAUAUUUCAUCUAACGGAUCCGGGUGGUAUUGGUGUGAUCCAUGAUUGCCCGGAGAGAGGAUUCCAUCCACAUAAAGCCCCUCUGGAUGGCUCACCAAUCUACGAGCAUUGCUCCCACGUGUACAUGAAUGCUGAUACAAAGUUUGAUAUGAUUGACCUCCGAGAACAGUGA